rnacentral:rRNA from 1 species
AGAGUUUGAUCCUGGCUCAGGAUGAACGCUAGCGGCAGGCUUAAUACAUGCAAGUCGAGGGGCAGCACAGGUAGCAAUACUGGGUGGCGACCGGCGAACGGGUGCGGAACACGUACAGAACCUUCCUUCGAGCGGGGAAUAGCCCGGAGAAAUCCGGAUUAAUACCCCAUAGUAAAUUAGAAAGGCAUCUUUUUAAUUUUAAAGAUUUAUCACUUGAAGAUGGCUGUGCGCCUGAUUAGGUAGUUGGCGGGGUAAUGGCCCACCAAGCCUUCGAUCAGUAACUGGCGUGAGAGCGCGACCAGUCACACGGGCACUGAGACACGGGCCCGACUCCUACGGGAGGCAGCAGUAAGGAAUAUUGGUCAAUGGACGCAAGUCUGAACCAGCCAUGCCGCGUGGAGGAUGAAGGUCCUCUGGAUUGUAAACUUCUUUUAUUUGGGACGAAAAAAGGGAAUUCUUUCCCGUCUGACGGUACCAGAUGAAUAAGCACCGGCUAACUCCGUGCCAGCAGCCGCGGUAAUACGGAGGGUGCAAGCGUUAUCCGGAUUUACUGGGUUUAAAGGGUGCGCAGGCGGAUAUGUAAGUCAGUGGUGAAAUCUUUAGGCUUAACCUGAAAAUUGCCGUUGAUACUAUAUAUCUUGAAUGCUGUGGAGGUAAGCGGAAUAUGUCAUGUAGCGGUGAAAUGCUUAGAUAUGACAUAGAACACCUAUUGCGAAGGCAGCUUACUACGCAGAUAUUGACGCUCAUGCACGAAAGCGUGGGGAUCAAACAGGAUUAGAUACCCUGGUAGUCCACGCCCUAAACGAUGAUUACUCGACAUACGCGAUACACUGUGUGUGUCUGAGCGAAAGCAUUAAGUAAUCCACCUGGGAAGUACGACCGCAAGGUUGAAACUCAAAGGAAUUGGCGGGGGUCCGCACAAGCGGUGGGAGCAUGUGGUUUAAUUCGAUGAAACGCGAGGAACU